CCCACAGCUUGUUUUGUAGCUCAGGAAAACAAAAACAAAAGCAAGGCACCAUUUACAAGUAAUCCUCAUUCUACACAUAGCAACUCUGUGAUUGAUAUCGCUUACUGCUUGCCUGUCCUAUGGGCACGUCUGUGAUGGGGAGGGGAUGAGGUGCUGAUAAAUCCAAUCUAGCAGCCAGAACAGCCAGUUCUUUGUGCUCGGCUGAAGAUGGAUGUGUCAAUUACAGGUAAAGCAUUUCUCUGAUAUGAAGCAGGAUGUUCCAGAGGAAUGGGCAGGCCUUUGCACAGGAGCGGGGCAGUGGAGCCAGGACAGGGGAAAGCCAUGGCCUGAGAGCAAUGACUUCUCUGGAACAAUGGUGAGUCAUGAGCCUCUCUGAAUCGAGCUUCAUCACCCAUCUUCCCUUCC